UUCGAGACAUGCACCACCUCCCAGCUUCACCCUUUUUCCCAUUCAUAUUUAGAAUGUGUAAAUGACAAAAAUGCUUCUAUCCUUUCAUGUAUCCCGGCUCAACCAACAACUACCAGUGCUUUGAUUCACAUGCUCAACUGAACAACAUUGGCAGGGUGAAGGAGACAAGUGCCCAAAUGUUCUGCCACCAAAUGGGCUCUCUUCAGUUCCCACUGUGGCUGUUCAUAGCAGUGCCAUACAAAUCUUUUAGAAUUGUUCCCUUCCUUAUUUCUGAUACUGCACUCACCUUCUUUCUCCUCAGUGUCCUUGGGGUCUACCUUCUCAGUGUUAUGUCUCUUUAAGAACCUAUCCUCAGUAGCCUGCCUUUCCUCUCCUUCACCCAUCUCAACACUCCCCUGGAUUGAUAAUUACCUGAACAACAUUCAAACUCUUGAUCUCCCUCAGAGCUCAAACUUGAGUAUCUGACUAACAAAUCAGUGUUACAUAUUAAUGUUUGAUAUACAAGACAUUAAUAUUUAGCCACUAACGCUGUUAUUCUGAGUGAACAUGGCCACAGAGUACUCCCAUCUCUAAGCCCAUCCCACCCAGGAAGUGCUGAAAGCAUAGACCCAAGCCUGCUAGGUUAAAAAUCCCCAGAAGUCACCCUUCAACACCCCCUUCCCUCCAACCCCAUCUCUGUUAUUUAGUCAUUAGUUCACCAAAUUCCACUAAGACGAUGUUUCUCUAAGCACAUUCCAAUUUCCCUUUUAACCCAGUGUCCCCUCACUCAGCAAGAUAACUUAAACGUGCAUAGUUGACUGAGUUUUUGUUCUGCAUUAAGUACUUUAAUGACGUUACUCUUUAGAACAAGGGCAAAUUCCUUAAUAUGUGAUAUGGCGAUCUCCUCAGUCCCUGUACAAGCUGACCGUGUUUCUUAGGGAACACAGUCUCUAAUGAAGUGAUUUGCCUUCUCUGGGGAUCUGGUUCAUGAAGCUUCCUCUUAACUUGUAUGGGGAGCAAGUCUGGACAAAACGCUGCGGCUUGGGCUUGUGAGGUGACAUUUUGUUCCAUUAUAUAUGUUUGCCAUCAGCUGGAGGUGCUGCCUCACUACAGGACUAAAACAGCGAAUCUAGCCCACCAUGGGCUGAAAACUCUGAAAUUCAGAGUCCAAAAUAACCUUUUUUUUCCUCGAGACUGCCGCACCCGAGGAUCCAUCCCUUA